CACCUAACGAGGAACGAUCGGAGGGCAAGUCUGGUGCCAGCAGCCGCGGUAAUUCCAGCUCCAAUAGCGUACGUUAAAGUUGCUGCAGUUAAAAAGCUCGUAGUUGAACGUUCGGGUUCCGCGGGACGGGGCCGCCCCGCGAGGGACGGCGCCGCCCCGGGGCUCGUGAUAUCUCAUCUCGCCGCCCCGUCGCGAGGCGGACGGAGGGAUGGAUGAGGUUACCUGGAAAAAAUCGGGGCGAUCUAGGCGGGCGAACCUCGCCAACGAACGAUCGGACAUGGGAUAACGGAAGAGGGCGUCGGCUCGACUUCGUCGGUUCCUCGGGCCGAGGCACGUACGGUGAAUAGGGGCUUUUCGCGGCCGCCCGUACCGGGUCGUGAGAGGUGAAAUUCUAGGAUCGACCCCGAGACGAACCGCCGCGAAAGCAUUCGGCAAGGACGCUUUUCAUUAAUCAAGAACGAAAGUCGGGGGAUCGAAGACGAUCAGAUACCGUCGUAGUCCCGACCGUAACGAUGCCGACCGAGGGCCCGGAGGAGUACGUACGACCCUCCGGGCCCUCCCGCGAGAAUCAGGAGUAUUCGGG
rnacentral:rRNA from 1 species